UGGCGGGUAGUUGAUACAAUUGAACGGGUUAUUAGGUGGCAUAGUGAAUCUUAAAAACUAUCCUUGAUAACUGAUCAGAUUCAUUAAUUCCGAGGCCAUGUCUAUGUGGUGUUUUGAAUCAGUAAACAGGUUCUGAUGUUAAACGGGUAAUUGGGAUUCCGGGUAGAGGUUAUUCUUUCUCGUAUUGAUUACAACUCUUUUAAUUAGUUUCUUAGCUUUUACAGUCAAAUUCAUCAAAACCCCAAUUUAGAUAACUUAGUUCUUAGUUAAAAACGUGACACUGACCACAGAUUCCCCGUGGAUACGAUACCCUACUUACGCUAUCUACGUAGCUUAUUUAGGUUUUUGAUUGACCCUUACGACAGUCAUCAAAAUGGCGCCGUUGCCGGGGAGUUCGUGAUCUUUUUUUGCAUGCAUACUCGGUUUUCAGGAAGAUCCUCUCCGCUCUUGUUCGAUCCCGAAAUUGAAAAGACCGCACGCCAGAAUCUGCUUCUUCGU
rnacentral:lncRNA from 1 species